rnacentral:rRNA from 1 species
GGGUGAGUAACACGUGGGUGAUCUGCCCUGCACUUCGGGAUAAGCUUGGGAAACUGGGUCUAAUACCGGAUAGGAGCCAUCUUUAGUGUGAUGGUUGGAAAGUUUUUCGGUGUAGGAUGAGCUCGCGGCCUAUCAGCUUGUUGGUGGGGUAAUGGCCUACCAAGGCGGCGACGGGUAGCCGGCCUGAGAGGGUGGACGGCCACAUUGGGACUGAGAUACGGCCCAG